rnacentral:rRNA from 1 species
GCCAGCAUUCAGUUAGGGCACUCUAUGGAAACUAGCCGAUGAUAAGUCGGAGGAAGGUGUGGAUGACGUCAAGUCCUCAUGGCCCUUACGGGUUGGGCUACACACGUGCUACAAUGGUGGUGACAGUGGGUUAAUCCCCAAAAGCCAUCUCAUUUCGGAUUGUCCUCUGCAACUCGAGGGCAUGAAGUUGGAAUCGCUAGUAAUCGCGGAACAGCAUGCCGCGGUGAANACGUUCCCGGGCCUUGUACACACCGCCCGUCACACCAUGGGAGUUGGUUCNACCCGACGACGCUGCGCUAACCUUCGGGGGGCAGGCGGCCACNGUAGGAUCANCGACUGGGGUGAAGUCGUAACAAGGUAGCCGUAGGG